rnacentral:tRNA from 1 species
GGGGCAGUAGCUCAGUGGGAGAGCGCCUCCCUCGCACGGAGGAGGUCGGCGGUUCAAAUCCGCUCUGCUCCA